CUCUCUCUCUUUGCGGCUACUGGUUUUACUACAGCUUCUCCUCACCCAACGCCUAUUAUGCUUUCCAUUAAUUAGUCUAUUUUGUGACUCUUAUUUCUUUUUUUAGUGCUGUCUAUGCUUAUUAAUUUUUUCUAGUGCUGUCUGUGGAAAUGACGAGGAUGAGAGGGAUUGUGGUGAUGUUCAGUAACUAUUCACCCAAUUAUUUCUUUUUUUAGUGCUGUUUGUGCUGUGUAUUAGAUCAUUCCUUCAUGUAUUUUCCCAGAUGCUUUUCUUGUAUAUGGGUAGGGAAGAAGUUGACUGUGACUCUAGAGUCUAGAUGCAUCCAACUUUGGAUGUUAUUUGCAGCUUAGGGAUUGACUAUCAGUAGGGAGCUUGAGAAUAUACAUCUUAUAGUUUGUUGGAGCUUAUUCUGAAUUCUAUUUUGCAAUUCAAAAUGUGGGCUUAUUUUGUGAAGAGUAUCUAGCUUUGUUCUCUCUGUGGUAGUUAAACCUUUGCUGCUUACACUAGUAGCUGAGCAUUUUUCCUCAUGCUAAAUAUGGCAAAUUCACAUUGUACCACGAGUGAUACAAUGUCAUAACUCUAUAAUUGGCAUAUGCAUGAAGUACUAAAAAACUAUGAGAGUUGCUGUGUACUAUUUGUAUGUCAAUAAUGUCAUAACUCUAUAGACUAUAAUUGAUCCACAUUCUUUCGAAAUUCCUUUGGGAUUGUAAAAUUAUUGCUGUUUCAUAUCAAUGUUUGUUAACUGGUAUUUUUGCGCUUAGAUUUUGCUUCUGAUGGAAAUUCUACUUAAUAUGGUAUCAAUUUAUUUUCAUAUAGAUCUAGGAUAGCAUUCUGUACUUCAUAUUGAAGGUUAAUUUUGUUUAGCUGAAUAAAAUGUUACGUUAAUACCUUGUGGUUUGAUUUGUACUCCGAUUAUUCUAAGCUUUGGAAUGGAAACCUAGUUUAUUAGGUAAAGUGCUGCAUGUCAUCCAUGCUCAUUGAUGUUGAUUUUAAUGAAAAUUUUUAAAAUAAAAUUCGUCCUAACCUCAUAUUCCACACUUGAGGCCUGCUGAAUACAAGAGGUCUAGAUUAUCUAGGAACAUGAGAACUGUGAACCGUGCUUAAGGUGGAGUAUUAUCAGGCAGUGCUGUGCGGAAAAGAUUUGUAGGAUUAUCAGAGCAUUAUUGGUGGAAGAGCAAAAGAUUGUGAAGAAGGUGCUGAAGAUUCAGAAAGCCAAGGAAAAGCAAGCUGGCAAGAGCUGAAGAUAUAGCCUGAGUCAGGUGUAGUUUUGGAUACAGUGCU